rnacentral:rRNA from 1 species
AUGGUGGAGAUAAGGAAACAUAUUGUAUAUCCCUUGGUUUAUCGUCUUUUGAAGCUAGCACUAGUAUUGCCUGUUGCCACUGCUACAGUUGAGAGAUCUUUUUCAGCUAUGAGAAUUGUGAAGACAUAUUUGCGCAAUCGUCUUGGUGACAACACCUUGAAGUACAACCUUAUUUGUUAUGCGGAGAAAAUAGAAAUGAGGAAGGUUACAAAUGAUGCAGUAAUUGAUCGCUUUGAGGCCAUGAAAGAACGCAGGAAACCUUUUUAG